rnacentral:lncRNA from 1 species
UUUGUGAUUAUAUUGUACUAAAGUCUAUGGGCGGAGGUAGGACUGGAAAUGAGUCGAGUCGAGUCGAACCCAUCAUCAGCUCGACUCGACUCGAUAAGAAUUGGUUUAGCUCGAAACUCGACUUGAGUUCGACACGAAUUUUUUUUAAGCUCGAACUCGACUCGUAAUAAGUUCUUGAACAACUCGGUUCAACUCGUUAGGUUCAGUUCGUUAGGUUCAGUUUGUUUACUUCACGGACUAAAAAGUCAUUUUUUAAAGUUUAAAUUUUU